rnacentral:miRNA from 1 species
CUGCUAUCCUUUUCCUGUUGCA